rnacentral:rRNA from 1 species
CAGUCGCCACGGGAAUACGUAGGGUGCGAGCGUUAAUCGGAAUUACUGGGCGUAAAGCGUGCGCAGGCGGUUGUGUAAGACAGGUGUGAAAUCCCCGGGCUCAACCUGGGAACUGCAUUUGAGACUGUAUGGCUAGAGUGUGUCAGAGGGGGGUAGAAUUCCACGUGUAGCAGUGAAAUGCGUAGAUAUGUGGAGGAAUACCGAUGGCGAAGGCAGCCCCCUGGGAUAACACUGACGCUCAUGCACGAAAGCGUGGGGAGCAAACAGGAUUAGAUACCCGCGUAGUCCCUGUCUCUUAUAC